rnacentral:lncRNA from 1 species
GACAACCAAAUUAAUUUACUUUAUGUUAUAUUAGAGAGAAUCAUUAACAUAAAGUCAUGUCAGGGUACAUCUUUUUGCAUGUUACCUUUUUUUUUCUCUCUCCUUUGUAUCAAUCAAUUUUUUAUCUUUAUUCUAUCUCCUUUGUGUCAGUCACUCACAGUCUCACGUAAAGACUAAGCAUUUUUUCUCUAAUAUAUGUGUUUUUUUUGUACAAUAAUUUUAGAGAGCCACUUAUAUCUUUUGUAUUAAUUUAACUAGUUGGUACGUAUUACAGUACGACAGGUAAAUGUACCCUAGACGAUGGUACAUAAAUAUUUUUUAGUACAAAUUCUACGAAAUGUAUCGUCGUCUAUGAUAAUAAAAAUAGCCAAUUUCAAGUACGCCAAUUUUUGUUUUUUUUGUACAUAAAAUUUUAAGUACCUUAUCAAAUUUAAACGUGACGGAAUUACUCAAUUUCAAGUACGUCAUCAAUUUUAUGUACCUCAUCAAUUUAAGUACCCUAUAUACAAUAUUCAUUAAUAAGUACGAGAACAAUCAAAAGUACUAAGUAUUUUCUCAACAAUAGUACCUCAUUAAUUUUUAGUACAUAGCAAAUACAACAAGGUACAUGUCAAGUACAUUAGAAUAGUUACAAUAUAUCAUCAAUUUUAUAUCCUCAACAAUUUUAAGUACCUUCUUAAUUUGAUGUACAUCGAGGUAAAUGUCAAGUACAUGACAAUAACUUAUCAAUUUUUGAUAUGAAAUCCCUGUCUAAAACAUGAAGAAACAAUUACAACACACGAUAAGUACCUCCUCAAUCACACUGACGCUAACCCAAUGGUACAACAUAACCCAGUGGUACAUCACAGAAAAAGAAGAAAUACACCUUCGGACUCAAAACAAGAUCACGAUAGGAAGAAAAAAAAAGUCAAUAUGUCCAGGAAAGGAAAGUUUGAUCUACUCUACCUGCAAAUCAAUAGAAAACAGAAGGUACAAAUCAAUAGAAAAUCAAAGUACGUGAAAUCAAGCCACAAAUCAAUAGAAAUCUAGCCACGGAAGCUACAAAUCAAAGUACCUCUAACCAAUCGGUGACAGGACCCUGUUCCGUGGGAGGCAGCGGGUGCUAGGAGCGUGCAGCGACGGCGGCCGAGGCCAGGCCUAGGGACGAGGCGCAUGGCGGCGGGGAGAGGAUGCGCGGCGGCUUGGACGGCGGGACGAGGCGUACGGUGGCGGGGAUGGGGGCGCGCGGCGGUUUGAACGGGGGGCAGCGGCGCGGUAGGCGCGGGGCCGCGGGGACGGGCGCGCGGCAGCGUCGCCGCGCGGCGACGGGACGAGGCGCGCGACGACGGGUAGGGGGGGGCCUGGCGGCUUGGAUAGCGAGCAGCGGCGCUGCGGGGUCGGCCCACGACAGAGAGGAGAGAGAUGAGAGAGAGGACUGCGAGAGAGGAGAGAGAUGGGAGAGAUGUGCCAGAAGAUUAGGCGGAGAUUAUUCUGAUCGGUAGAGAAAUUAAAAAAUAAAAAUAGACAGGUGUGUGGCUAGGACCGUAGGUGUAAAUCGCGUUAUGGUUAUGGAGAGGUUUGGCGCCAUAAUACUAGUACUCCUAGCUAACUGGCUGCAGCUUGAAACUAGCCAUGUUUUCGGAUCCAGACCGUUUCAAAUGUGCAGUCAGUCGAAAUGUUUGCUUGCUCUCAUGCCUGGAUACCAGGGAGGGAGGCAGGGGGAGCAUGUGAGCCGGGACAGUGAAAAUCAACGAGCCAGGCGUGCACCUGUCAACCGAUCCAUGCUUCAUCAGACGAAAGGGGGCUUAACCCGGAACGAUGAUUAACUCUGGGACUAAGGACAAUGCACAUGG